rnacentral:rRNA from 1 species
AAAACAACAACCCAAUAUUAAUAACCCCAAACACACUACCUCCCUAUCAAACAAACCAUUUUACCCCCUUAGUAUGGGCGACAGAAAAGGAACCAUUGGAGCGAUAGAGAAAGUACCGCAAGGGAAAGCUGAAAGA